UACGAGCACCCCAAGCGUUAUCCGGAAUCACUGGGUUUAAAGGGUGCGUAGGUGGGCAGGUAAGUCAGUGGUGAAAUCUCCGGGCUUAACUCGGAAACUGCCGUUGAUACUAUCUAUCUUGAAUAUCGUGGAGGUAAGCGGAAUAUGUCAUGUAGCGGUGAAAUGCUUAGAUAUGACAUAGAACACCCAUUGCGAAGGCAGCUUACUACACGAUCAUUGACACUGAGGCACGAAAGCGUGGGGAGCAAACAGG
rnacentral:rRNA from 1 species